rnacentral:rRNA from 1 species
GCCAGACUCCUACGGGAGGCAGCAGUGGGGGAUAUUGCAUAAUGGGGGGAACCCUGAUGCAGCGACGCCGCGUGGGUGAAGGAGCGUUUCGGCGCGUAAAGCCCUAUCGGCAGGGAAGAAGGAGGACGGUACCUGACUAAGAAGCCCCGGCUAACUACGUGCCAGCAGCCGCGGUAAUACGUAGGGGGCAAGCGUUAUCCGGAUUUACUGGGUGUAAAGGGGGCGCAGACGGCAGCGCAAGCCAGGAGUGAAAGCCCGGGGCCCAACCCCGGGACUGCUCUUGGAACUGUGCGGCUGGAGUGCAGGAGGGGCAGGCGGAAUUCCUGGUGUAGCGGUGAAAUGCGUAGAUAUCAGGAGGAACACCGGUGGCGAAGGCGGCCUGCUGGACUGCGACUGACGUUGAGGCCCGAAAGCGUGGGGAGCAAACAGGAUUAGAUCCCCUUGUA